rnacentral:sRNA from 1 species
UCCAAGGCAAGCUGACUUAGGGCCACCGC